UUUAAUAUGGCAGAUUAGUGCUAUGAAUUUAAGAUUCAUAAAUAAAUAAUAAUAUAUUUUAUUAAAA
rnacentral:tRNA from 1 species